CUCUUUCCUUCUUUCUUCUCUUGACUCUCGCUGUUUGGGUCUCUUUUUAAUCUUCUCCAUUCACUGCGAUCUUUGAAUCUCGAGGAAUACUGUGAAGAGUGAAGGAGGUCAUAUUUGUCGUCGAUUUAGUAGUCGAUGUGGGUUCUUCUUUGGAUCUUUUGGUUGUCCUUGAUCCGUUCGAUUAGCUCACCACCUGAUUGGAAUUUCGAGGCUUUUUCGCUACAUUGAAAGCUUACAGUUCUCUUACGUCUUUUGAUCUCAAUUUUCCAAGGGACCAGGCCUUAUAUCUCCUGAAGGUUUAAAGAAGUUCUUUGGAAGGCAACUGAAAAGGCUUUGUCGUUUGCAACACAGGUACAUGGCCGAAAGUGCAAGUGGAACAUAACUAAAUGAUGCUCUCUGUGAACAGUUGCAGUCUCCUAAAAGUAACCACAAAUAGGUGAAAGCUGGUCAGUAGUGAUUCUGAUUGAUCGUAUAUGACAUAUUGUCUCCAUUAUCUUCAUUUGUUGCACGAAGUAAAUAAGGUCUGCCCUUUGUUUCCAUCCGAUGGACCAGUCUCAGCCAGAUGAACCUGGUGGUGAUCUAUGCCUCUCUGGACAACCUAGAAGUGCUCAUGUCAGUGGCAGCUCAGAUGACAGAUACAAGUUUGUGUUGAAUUGAGAAAUAGAUCAUAAAAGAGGUUGAUUUUAUUCAUCAAGGAAAUGAACAUUUAUAUAAGUUUUGAUGAAGAAUUUUUUUUUAAUCAUGGACUCAAAUCACGUAAUCAAAUCAAUUCCUUAAAUUUA